rnacentral:misc_RNA from 1 species
GAUGAAGAACGUAGCGAAAUGCGAUAAGUAAUGCGAAUUGCAGAAUUUCCGUGAGUCAUCGAAUCUUUGAACGCACAUUGCGCCCACUGGUAUUCCGGUGGGCAUGCCUGUUCGAGCGUCAUUAUCCUCCCUCAAACCCCGGGUUUGGUGUUGGACCCAAGUUGUGUGAACAACUGGUCUCAAAGACAAUGACGGCGUCCGUGGGACCCUCGGUGCAAUGAGCUUUUAGGAGCACGCAUCGAGUUGCAAGGACCUUCCGGGCCGGUCUCCUUUACCAUUUUACAAGGUUGACCUCGGAUCAGGUAGGAAUACCCGCUGAACUUAAGCAUAUCAAUAAGCGGAGGA